AAUAGCGGCUGGUAAACCAGCUUACAAGUGCACUACCGCCACCUGCUGCACUGGAGUGUGGCUCCGCCAAUAAAUGUCCACACCUUUUCCGGCUUUUAAGCCAAUCAGCGAUGCGCCCUGCGUGAACACGGGGUUUGAAAUGUGGAGAGACUCGGCUAAGCUAGACGACAAAGAAAGUUAACCUGGUUUUGUUCUGCACUACUUCCUGUCCAACACAGAGGACCCAUGCCAGCGGUUAUGGCGAAUGAUACCGCGUGGAUGACGACGUGGAAUAUGGACACAAAUCCCAGCAACAGAUGCUGUGGUGUAGAUGUCAUGGAAGGUCCUCUUCGCCUUCUCCCAGGCAGAACUCCAAGCUCCAUGACCUGAUGACAUGAGCUCCUUCAUUCCUUAAGUCUGAAGAUUGGACAGCUUAUGCUUACAUGAGAUGACCCAAAUAUAUCCUGCCAGCAAAAGUAGGUAGAGGAAGUCCGACCCCAAAACUGCUUAAUACCAGUACACUCUGCCAGCCCCACAGCAGCAGACACUGCAGUCACUGGUACAGCUCUUUGUGGACCUUCACUAGUUGUGGACAUCACCAGUCACUGAUCCCUGAGCUGCUGCAGAAUGACCUACAUUGACCCGAUGUUACCCAAUGCUGGAAAACGAUUUCCAGUAGUGAAUUCUCUAAGAAUCCAAACCCAUCCCUUCUUAUUUGAUGAUUGAAACAUCAGCUUGCAGCCUUGUGCACAGUGAGGAGUCGGACAAGAUUUUGCAUCAGAAGAAAUAUCCAAAGUGGUGGAGAGCAUCAUGACCAACCUCGGAAGAUCUGUGUCAUUGGCUUAACUUCAACAUUUUCCUUCACUCUUACUACAGCAACAAUCAUCCAGGCAAAUACUGUAAUAAAAUGGCACAAACUUGUAUCAUAUUUCUAGCAGUUUUGAUUUUUGGGUCAUAGCAUCCAGCUGUCAAAUAGCUGAAUUAAAGCAGCAGAGGGUUCAUUAAUCACUUUUGCUGAAAGUGUUUUGCAGAGGUGACAGCAACUGGACUCCUAAGAACGAUUACAGUUUCAGUGAAUGCCUUGCAUCAUCAGAGGCUUUAGCUCAUUUUAAAUAUCUGCUUGUUCUGUUGUUAUGUCAUCCAGCAGGGUUAGAAGUUUGUUUGCCUGGCACUAUGAUGUGUAUGUAUUAUUGUAGGGUCUACCUUACAAUAUAAAGUGGCUUGAGGUGACUGUUGUUGUGACUUGGCGCUAGAUAAAUAACAUUGAAUUGAAGCAAUCUGUAUUCGGAUUAUUUAUGUACCCAGGAAACGGUGAAAGUAACUGUAUAGUUGUAACAUCGAAGAUUCUCCGCAACAUCUGUGCAGGAAGCAAACCUGAGAUGGUUGGUGUUAAACUUAACAAUAUCCUGCUGUUCACCUGGUUAGCUGUAAUUAUACUGAUAAUGAAAUCACUGGUGUAUUUUUACACCUUAGAUACUGAUUUACACUGACUCUGCAGGUUUAGUGGAUCUGUCAAGUAUCAGUGGUUUACACAUGGAUUUCUUUUGAAUAAACCGUAAUUAGUAACUGGGGAACCGACAUAUGUAAUGUAGGUGUUUGGCACCAGUACAGAUCAUAUUACAGCGGUAUUGGCCAGAUAUGAAUAGAUUAUAGAGAACUGGCUUCUUCAUUUACAUGAACCAAAGAAUUUUAGGUGCAUAUGACAAUCCAAUUUAUUUUUUUUCUUUGCAUAAAUGUGUUCAUUUUUAAUUUUAUGCAACCAAUAGUUGUCUAAAAAGUUGGAACAGAAGACUGAAAAAGCUGAAAAUCAAUAUUCAGUUGCUGUGUCUUUGUGCCGUCGGGUGGAAAUGCAUUUAAAAAAAAGAUUCGGUAGUAGACAUCACUCUGUGGACUCAAAAGAAUUCUGAAAAUCCUCGUCAUUAAAGUUCAUUGCUACAUCCACAGAAAGCUUAAAUCUACUAUGUACGCUAAAAAAGGAACGCAGUGUUACAUCCAGGGUCAUUUAAGAUGGAUGGAGGUGAUGUGGAGAAUUGGCCUGUGGUCUGAGCCGGAAUUAGAAAAGGGGGGG